CCUUGACAUCCACGGAAUUUGGGCAGAGACGCCUUAGUGCCUUCGGGAACCGUGAGACAGGUGCUGCAUGGCUGUCGUCAGCUCGUGUUGUGAAAUGUUGGGUUAAGUCCCGCAACGAGCGCAACCCUUAUCCUUUGUUGCCAGCGAUUCGGUCGGGAACUCAAAGGAGACUGCCGGUGAUAAACCGGAGGAAGGUGGGGAUGACGUCAAGUCAUCAUGGCCCUUACGGCCAGGGCUACACACGUGCUACAAUGGCGCAUACAAAGAGAAGCGACCUCGCGAGAGCAAGCGGACCUCAUAAAGUGCGUCGUAGUCCGGAUUGGAGUCUGCAACUCGACUCCAUGAAGUCGGAAUCGCUAGUAAUCGUAGAUCAGAAUGCUACGGUGAAUACGUUCCCGGGCCUUGUACACACCGCCCGUCACACCAUGGGAGUGGGUUGCAAAAGAAGUAGGUAGCUUAACCUUCGGGAGGGCGCUUACCACUUUGUGAUUCAUGACUGGGGUGAAGUCGUAACAAGGUAAGCGUAGCGAG
rnacentral:rRNA from 1 species